AUCCAGCAUGCUCCUGUCCUGCACUUGGAGAAGGUCACCUGCCAUGACGCAGGAGCGAUCAGGGAGUCCCCAGCUGGGAUUUUCAUCAGGCUGCUCUUUGGGUCAGCGUGUUUUCCUGUGUUCGGUCCAGUUGGAGAUGGCUUCUGUGUUGUCCUGCGCCCAUGCUACGCUCCGGGAUCGGUAGACGAGUCGUGCGUAUCCCUGGCGCCGUCCACGAACAAACCGUUCUUCGGCACGCCUCGCUCUACCUUCGGCAUCCCUGGGCUACUAUAUUGCUUCUCGGUUCGUGCGAGCGGGCGAGAGGGUGCAGCGGAAAGGCGCGCCUGGGACCACGGGCGUGCUUGCAGCAGCAGGUGGUGACGAGCGUGUGCAUGAGGCGUUGCAGAUGGAUACAGGCACAGAUAGAACAGGCACGUCUCGGACUCACUGUCCGAGGGAUGCUUCUGAGUAACGAUGAUCAAAACGGCUGUGAUGUAUAGCAAUGACACGCAUGCCGCGCCGCCAAGUAGAAGUGAAAAUGAGAAAAAGCGUCUGUCAGAGGAGAGCGGGCUCCUUCCACGGAGCAGACGCGGCGCGACAGCGAGGAAAAGACGUCGAAGCAGGCACCGCAGUCUGAAACCAUUGCCAAAUCCUCUCUACUAGCGGGCAUCAUGCGGGAGAGACUUCCGAAAACGGAGACACAGGGCACCACUGGGGAUCGCGUAGCGUGUUUCUCGACAACGCCUUGCGUACGCUCCCUCGCUGUGACGUACCCCAGAAGGCGCUUGUUCGUAGGAGUUCAGGAGGCAGGGCGCCCAGCUGUCGGUUUUUCUUUUGAAAGCUUUCGAGCUGACUUUCAAGCGUCAGCACAACCGGUAUUCGGGACAGAGGACGCAAUGCGGUCUUGGUACCGCAAAAUCACGUUUUUUGGACACAAGCUUCCCAGAACAUCUCGACGCGUCGCAGCGGCGCAUUGGCGAUAAGAACACGUACAGCGCAGGUACCAGAAAGUAUCAGAGCAGGCCUCGAAAAGGAAAACAAUCCGCGGAUCCAUGCCGAGCGCUGUAUGAAGCGCUUCAUGGACGCUUGUGUGGAAUCAUCAUACUCGCCUCCCAGAGUGGCGACUGGUGACACAGAUCCCGUGGGCGUCGACGGAGGCGAACGACUUGCGAGCGGCGACGGAAACGCUCACGGUCGUCGCGACGUUGAUAGAGAUGCCGGAACGAAAGCGAGCGUUGGCACUGUACACCCAAGCUGAUGGCGAUGCUUUCGGGCUCGAAUGGACGCAAGUCAUAUCCGGAUGAUGACUAGUACAUGAUGGCGAAGCGCGAUGCAUCUCGCGCGAUGACAUGUCGAGGAAGAGCGCCCUCUGUCGAGCAGUGCAGACUCGCUUCCCAUGUGCGCGUGUCCUGACCUCAUCUGGCGUCGAUCCGAUGUAGUCCCAAUACUUCAUAUCACGACUCAUUCCAUCACCAUAGACACUGGCGGGUUGCGCUGCAUGGCCGUUUCAGGAAAACUUUGGCCGAUCUCUGCGUCCAGAUGUGAAGCAUUCGAACGACAAUGCCAAGAGCAUUGGCGGAGCGCGAUCAACGUUUCUUGUUUGCAAUGAGGAAAUCGGAUGAUAUAUUCAGAGACAAUCGAGACCGACGGUAAAUCCACCAGUG